UGAUUCGAAUAUGAUGGUUGUGAGGAAAGAGACACCGUCCGAAGGUCUUGCAAUGUGAGUUUUUCAAGAAUAUUUCAACCUUAUAACCUUUUUAUUUUCAAAGGCAUUGUUAACCUUUCAUUUUUCUUCUUGUUUAGAGUUCCGAUUCAAGUUUGUCUACCAGUGUCCCAAACAACCACUGUGCCGGAAUUUGAAGAAACACCUGAGACAGAAUAUGAACCAACCCCUCUGCUACAAGUUGAAGGAACUACAAAAAUCACUCCUGAACCCCCCAACAACUGGAAGAAAGCACACCCACACUUCCCCCAGCUCCAUCUAAAAUCACCAGAAGACGCUACUGCAUUGAUGAUGAUGGCACAGACAGCAUCGUACAUUCCUAAAAAAG